rnacentral:rRNA from 1 species
UACGUAGGCAGCGAGCGUUGUUCGGAGUUACUGGGCGUAAAGAGUGUGUAGGCGGUUCGCCAAGUUCGGUGUGAAAUCUCCCGGCUCAACUGGGAGGGUGCGCCGAAUACUGGCGGGCUUGAGUGCGGGAGAGGAAAGCGGAAUUCCUGGUGUAGCGGUGAAAUGCGUAGAUAUCAGGAGGAACACCUGCGGUGUAGACAGCUUUCUGGACCGCGACUGACGCUGAGACACGAAAGCGUGGGGAGCAAAC